ACGAUGAACCGGUUUCGGCCGGGGAUUAGUGGCGAACGGGUGAGUAACACGUGGGCAAUCUGCCCUGCACUCUGGGACAAGCCCUGGAAACGGGGUCUAAUACCGGAUACGACGCGUUCCCGCAUGGGAUACGCGUGGAAAACUCCGGCGGUGCAGGAUGAGCCCGCGGCCUAUCAGCUUGUUGGUGGGGUGAUGGCCUACCAAGGCGACGACGGGUAGCCGGCCUGAGAGGGCGACCGGCCACACUGGGACUGAGACACGGCCCAGACUCCUACGGGAGGCAGCAGUGGGGAAUAUUGCACAAUGGGCGAAAGCCUGAUGCAGCGACGCCGCGUGAGGGAUGACGGCCUUCGGGUUGUAAACCUCUUUCAGCAGGGAAGAAGCGAAAGUGACGGUACCUGCAGAAGAAGCGCCGGCUAACUACGUGCCAGCAGCCGCGGUAAUACGUAGGGCGCAAGCGUUGUCCGGAAUUAUUGGGCGUAAAGAGCUCGUAGGCGGCUUGUCGCGUCGAAUGUGAAAGCCCGGGGCUUAACUCCGGGUCUGCAUUCGAUACGGGCAGGCUAGAGUUCGGUAGGGGAGAUCGGAAUUCCUGGUGUAGCGGUGAAAUGCGCAGAUAUCAGGAGGAACACCGGUGGCGAAGGCGGAUCUCUGGGCCGAUACUGACGCUGAGGAGCGAAAGCGUGGGGAGCGAACAGGAUUAGAUACCCUGGUAGUCCACGCCGUAAACGUUGGGAACUAGGUGUGGGCGACAUUCCACGUUGUCCGUGCCGCAGCUAACGCAUUAAGUUCCCCGCCUGGGGAGUACGGCUGCAAGGCUAAAACUCAAAGGAAUUGACGGGGGCCCGCACAAGCGGCGGAGCAUGUGGCUUAAUUCGACGCAACGCGAAGAACCUUACCAAGGCUUGACAUACACCGGAAAACCCUGGAGACAGGGUCCCCCUUGUGGUCGGUGUACAGGUGGUGCAUGGCUGUCGUCAGCUCGUGUCGUGAGACGUUGGGUUAAGUCCCGCAACGAGCGCAACCCUUGUUCUGUGUUGCCAGCAUGCCUUUCGGGGUGAUGGGGACUCACAGGAGACUGCCGGGGUCAACUCGGAGGAAGGUGGGGACGACGUCAAGUCAUCAUGCCCCUUAUGUCUUGGGCUGCACACGUGCUACAAUGGCCGGUACAAUGAGCUGCGAAGCCGUGAGGUG
rnacentral:rRNA from 1 species